rnacentral:rRNA from 1 species
GCCUUCAUGAAGCUGGAAUUGCUAGUAAUGGCAGGUCAGCAUACUGCCGUGAAUACGUUCCCGGGCCUUGUACACACCGCCCGUCACACCAUGAGAGUUGGGAAUACCCGAAGCCUGUGAGCUAACUUAUAGAGGCAGCAGUCGAAGGUAGAAUCAAUGAUUGGGGUGAAGUCGUAACAAGGUAAC